UCCGUCAUGUGGAAAUUGUUGUAUGUGGCAGUGCGUUUUCUGGUCUUUACAGCCUCCACACACUGAAGACUGCUUUUGUGCAUCUGACCAUUUCCUCAAUAAUUCAGAAUUUCACAUACGUUUAAUAAUUCAUUCCUGCACUGGGAUCCUGAGGUUAGUCUGGUAACCCUGCUGAAAACACCAUCCUAAACCAGCCUAAAAUUGUUUGCUGGUCUUAGCUGGUUUAAGUAUGACCAAGCUGAUAAACCAUGGCACCUCAAGAUCACGUCAAUGGUGACACUUUUUUUUAUUUUAUUUUAUUUUUAGGAAAAACCCUCAGUGAUUUGUGUAGUAGCCAAAGCAUCAAAUCUAGCAACGCUGAUUUGUAAACAAUCCGAUUUGUUUAUAGACCAAAUGCGUGGUCUUUGUAAAUCCAGCUCGUCAGAGUAAACAUGUAAACAUGGUUUAUGUUCAUCAAAGCCCAACCAAUUCUUUACAUUUGCCAAACGUAUGAAGUGGGUAAGAGCCCAGCGCUCCAUGGUAAUUCAUUUUUGGCGUGCGGUUUAAUCGGAAACAGCACAGAUUGGCGAGUCGUGACUGCUAAAGUGAGUAAUGCGCGUCGGCUGCGUCAGUAGGGGCAAAGCGCUGGGUGCCGGAGACAGAUGGAGGGAAUCGUGACUGACUGGAAACUUCCACAAAUGAAACCACAACCUCAUCAUGUCUCCACGAUAGCGCUAUCUGUUAAGACUGGACUUAAAUGUUAGGAUCUCGCUGUUCUCCCCUGUCACUUUCAGUCCUGACCUUGGAAUCCGGAGGCAAUUCUUCACAUUCAGAGAAAAGCGACUUUGAGCUCUCUGGUUAGAGAGUUUAUGUGUGCGACUGUGCGUGUGCAUGUGUGCUCGUGCUUGUGAGGAUGAGGUUAUUUUAUGGUUUUGUGUGUGUGUGUGUGUGCGUGCGUGCGUGAGAUGUGUGGGGUAUCCAAAUAUAGCCAGACUCAGAGAAUGAUGUUCAUUAUUUUAUGAGACAAGGAAAGGAGGAAGCUUUGGUGACUACAGACCUAUAGUACACAAGGAUCUUGAGGAACUUGUGGGGGGUCCCUGUGUGAGAAGAGCACGGAUUGGUCGAAUGACGAGUUUUCGUAUGCUCCAAUGAAAUCCUUCACUGCUCUCUAUUUACUGUGAGCUGGAGCGCAGUAAUUCCCCUCCUUCAACAGAUCUAUCGACUGACAGGAGUAGAUCAGCUUUUUGCUUAACCACAUCACGAACAGGAGAAUAUGUACAGUAUGGCCAUAGGAACGGCAUCAGAGCACGGAUAAAAUGACGGUGCACGGGCUCGGAUGGAAAGGGAGUCGUACACUAGAGCGGAUUCUGUGCAUUUCUCCGCGAAUGUGUAGAAUUGGAGUCUACUGCACACGGUCCGGCCAUUGGCUACAACAACAUGGACUGUCAGUAAUUAUGGACCGAGCCUGCAACUCAGAUGCCACAUUCAAAGCGUAUGGAAAAGUCUUUCACGAAUCUUUUUGCGGUCUGGGCUUGCUGUUCUCAACUAUUAAUGGGAAGCCCUUACCCCAAAAAGCAUUUGCGGAGGGCACACACAGCGAAUAAUACAAGAAAGCUCUCUCUUACUUCUGCUCCUCUUGGACUAUCAUCAUACUCAUUGCCAGAAUGGCACACGCUGCAAUUCUCAUGAGUUAUUAUGUGAUUUUUAUUUAUUAAUUUAUUUUUUACUGGGGGAAAAAAAUACUAUUUUCCUUCUGGCACACCCUUUCAGUAUCAAGUGACUCCAACCGCGCCUUAUCAAUUUAACAUGUGAUUUAAUUCUGAAUUUAAAACAAAAUAAGGGUUGGGGACUGCAUGCCUACUAUAACUAAUAUAAACGAUGCGAUGCUUGACGGUUUUAUCAUGUGAAUAAACAACUGAAUUAAAGCACAAAUGCAAUAAAAAGAAUAUUACAUCUGGAUCGUGACAUCUUAUUUGGAGUUUUGCAGGGACGCAGCUGACGCGCGCGCAGGUGCUGUUGCAUACAGCUCGUGGAACAUCAAGUGUGUUUGCAGAGUUACCAUACAAUUUCUAAACACGACUCGUGGCACUCCAAUGAGUUUACAUGGAAAUAUAGGCUAGUCAACAGUGAACGUUGGAUGGACGGACCGAUCCUUGAAUAACUCCUUGCUAUAACACGUGUUAGGUGCUCACUAUAUGUUAAAAUGUUUGCUUAGAAUCAAAACGUUAGGCUACUAGUGUCACGUGCCCUUACCUGUGCUCAAAAAUGACAUAAGGCUUGUUCACACUUACCUCGUUAUAGACAGAUUAAUUGCAUACAAGAUAAGGUAAACUAAUCUUCAUAAGGGAGCCUUCAUAAUCCACUCAAACUUCUUAACAUCCACACUUCAUCAGGCAGCACAGUGUAUACACUCUCUUAAUUAACUUUUAAGAAAAAAAAGAUCAUCAUCAUCAUGGCAUGGUAUGAGACUUGAGCACAGUUUCUGAUAAUAUAAUGUGCUACUGUAAAGACGCAAAACAAUAGGUGUGCUGUAGCAGUGCUGUAAGCAUGUAAAUGCAUUACUGAAAAAGCAGUUAACCACAACAGUAUCAUUAAGUUUUAAAGAGAAGUUUUUAAGUUUUAUGCUGCAUGUCCUCCUCCAUUAUUCUUUGAGAUAUGAUUAUGCAUUUUGAAAAUACUGGAUAAUAGGUGACAUUGUUUGUGAGAAUAUUUGUUUUAUUGUUUCAAAACAUGCAAUGUAAUGCUUGACGUUGUUUAGUUUGAAGGAUCAAAGACACCGUUGAUUAAACCAAUCGCCUUCAUUGUAUUAACUCAAAUUUUUUAAUUUCAAUGAACUCAAAAUUUUAAGGCAACCAGAUAACUUACUUUUUUAAGUUAAACCAACAGUUUUUUUUUUACAGUGUAGAUUUACGAUUACAGUAAAAUGGAGUAUUUGACUGGGUGUCAACAUUAUGUGGUUUUCAAAAAAUAAAAAGAAUUAUUUGAUAUAUACAAAUUCAUGAGUCAUAAGUGUGUAUGCGUGUGUAGGUGAAACAGCACUUUCCUUAAUUUUUCUCUGGUCUCUACUUGUCAUAGUCAACAGAAAUGUCCUAACAAAAACUUUUUUGUUUGUUUGUUUUUUACUCCAGAGUAGUUUAUGACAAAUUUUUGUUCAGGUUUCCUCACGUUCUUGUUCCAUUUCUUUUUCUAGUCCCGUCCUCUAAUCAAGCAGAAACGAUUAAAGCAAUUCACGUUGUCUUGUAAAGUAAGGCAUUUUAAAUAAAACUAAUGUAUAACAACAAUGCAUGUUAAUUUGUGUACAGGUUAUUCCAGCUCCAAGGUCUGAGCUAAAACAGAGAGAAGCAGACAGACACACACACACACACACACACACACACACACACACACAGACAGAGAGAGAGAGGGAGAGAGAGAGGGAUGGGAAUCCGAAUCAACAGAUCAGGAGAGCCCAUGCCUAAAUAACAGAUGCCAGGCACGUAAAUAAUGACAUUUGUGUGUGUUUUCUCAAAUGCUUGUUAUUAUGUCAUUGAUUUUAUAGCUACUGCACCAACUAUGUAGCAUUUAUGGAUUGUUUUUUUGUUUGUCUUCUUUUUACAAUGCUGUAGAUUGGAACCAGGUGCACUGAUUGCAUAUUUAGUUUGAAUGUUCAGAAUUACAGAUCUGUAAGCUUUUGGAAUUGUUCCUUUUUAUGCUUUUAACUAAAAUAUGACGUGAGGUUGACUCCCGUCCUCUGACUCAGUUUAAGAGGUGAUGCGCUCAUAUCGUAACCACUCUAAAUCACAUGUACAAACAGUGGAUUGUUAUUUUGUAUUAAUUCAUCAAUGAGAAAAUAAAUGUUUACAGCUACAA